rnacentral:rRNA from 1 species
UACGUAGGGGGCAAGCGUUGUCCGGAUUUAUUGGGCGUAAAGAGCGUGUAGGCGGCCAUUCAGGUCAGCUGUGAAAACUCGAGGCUCAACCUCGAGACGUCGGUUGAAACCGUCUGGCUAGAGUCCGGAAGAGGAGAGUGGAAUUCCCGGUGUAGCGGUGAAAUGCGCAGAUAUCGGAAAGAACACCCGUGGCGAAGGCGGCUCUCUGGGACGGUACUGACGCUGAGACGCGAAAGCGUGGGGAGCGAACAGG